rnacentral:rRNA from 1 species
UACGGAGGGUGCAAACGUUGCUCGGAAUUACUGGGCGUAAAGCGCACGUAGGCGGCUUUGUAAGUUAGAGGUGAAAGCCCGGGGCUCAACUCCGGAAUUGCCUUUAAGACUGCAUCGCUAGAAUUGUGGAGAGGUAAGUGGAAUUCCGAGUGUAGAGGUGAAAUUCGUAGAUAUUCGGAAGAACACCAGUGGCGAAGGCGACUUACUGGACACAUAUUGACGCUGAGGUGCGAAAGCGUGGGGAGCAAACAGG